GCUGUCGUGAAGUGAGGGCGCCGGCCGUAAAGCGCGGAAGCCUGGCACAGGAGGCUAGGCGGUGCUCGCCUGGGGAGAAGAGGCGGGAGCCGGGAGGAGGCGGCUGUCGGGAUUGUCCCAGCGCCAGGCUCGCCGUGGAAAGACGGGUCAGCGGCUCGCCUGGGGAUAUGCUCCAGUAUGUAAGUGCCCAGACUUCGAGUGGGACUGCUCCUGUGGAAAAAGAUACGCACCCGCUUAACGUGCAGGACCUUGCUUCCGAGGAGUCAAGAGUAUUCGUUCAAAGACAACCAACACUGGUCCCAGCAGUGUUUAAGCCACAGAUUGGUGUGAGAGCCAGGAAACUGAGCUUGUCUCAGGCACCAUUUGCAUUCGACCAUGGGAGGCUUUGCAAGAAUUAGUGCAAACGAAGCAAACUUUAAGGAUGUUAGCUCUCAAUACUGCAUAGACAGGAUUGUCAUGACCCCUUUUUUUGAAGCUGGUAAACCACCACAGGAGUGUGAAAAAUGCUCAACUCGAGCUGACUCAAAGGAUGGAGUCAAAUAGUGGACACCACAAGAUGAGGGACGACGACCACCCAGAGGACCCUCACAGAACCCCAGCUUUGGAACUGUGCAUGUGUUCACUAAACUAUGCCCAUCAUUAUUAUAGUAACACCUCUCUAUGCUUUGUAUGCAAAUUAUGGAGAGCACUCCAAAGAAUAUGAGCAUAAAAGGGCAGGGCUCAGGUCAGAGGGUGAGCUCCCACCACUGGCAAUACGCUUGGUGAAGAAGACCACCAAGUCAUUGCUGGAUCCACAGGUGGUGAUACUUCUCUCUCUCUUCCUCUCCCUUUCUCUUUCUUUCUUAGAAUCAUAGAAUAGUUUUGGUUGGAAGGGACCUCCAAAGGUCAUCUAGUCCAGCCCUCCUGCAAUGAGCAGGGACAUCUUGAACUAGAUCAGGUUGCCCAGAACCACAUCCAGCCUGGCCUUGAAUGUCUCUACGGAUGGCACAUCCACCACCUCUCUGGGCAACCUGUGCUGGUAUUUUACUACCCUCAUUGUAAAAAAUUUUUUCCUCACAUCCAGCCUGAACCUCCCCUCUUUUAGUUUAAAACUGUUACCCUCGUCCUAUUGCAACAGGCAGCUAUAAAUAGUUGUGUGUGCUCGUUGUACACCUAGAGGGGUGUAAAUGCCUUCCGAUGCCUCAGAGAAGAGCUUAUGUCAGAAUCUCGAUUCUAAAUGUAAAAUGAAUACCAGAUUCUUGCUCCGAAAUUCUGGGUUGUGCCAGCUUUUUCCAACUUGGGUUACUCUGGAGUUGCCCGGCAGCUGACGCCGUGCUCAGAUGCACCGAGUGUGAGCACUGCUUCUCCUCUCCUCUCCUCUCUUUUUUUAUUGAAUAUUGACUAGAACUAAGUAAAAACACGUGGCACGGGACUUGCUUAUCGAGUCAAAGUAGUCAUUGUUGAGUUAUAUCGAACCACAAGCCUCGUAUUUUGUAUUAAUAAAUCAUAAAA
ensembl:lncRNA